rnacentral:other from 1 species
GCGGGGCUGCCCGGUUCGACAGGUUGCACAUUCCCCGGGGCCAAUACCGAUCCUCUGGGAGCUGUCCCUGGCCUUGGCCAUCGGCCUUGGCUACAUGGCGCCCACCUGCUUAGGCAGGCCUUGGAGGAACUGCUCAUGCCAUCGGCCACGGUGGCUCCGCC